rnacentral:lncRNA from 1 species
GAAUUUACAAGCUUUCCAACAAGACUGAAGAAAUCCAGGAAACCACAAUGACAGAUCCACUUGAAACAACCAUUUCAUGUCCUUUGCUGUCCUUUGAGCAUGGCCCAGACCUCUGAGAAUACUGGGAGGAAAAAGAAUAAUUCCAAUGAGUAUUUCAGAGAUUCUGCUGUCAGAUGCUUUUCUGCUUUCACACAGGCUCAAUCCUGACAUGACUGACUUCAGUAAAGGUGUGAUUGCAGAAGGGCUCAGUGCUGGUCUGAAACCUCAAGUUACAGAAGCCCAGUGGGAAGAGAGGAAGAGUUAAAUGGAUGUCACUUUAGGAGCAGCACUACUGGGAAGCAGCAGGAAUCCUCCUGCAAGAGAUGAGGAUUCACGUCAGGAUGAUACUGCUGAGGAUUCACAGUACAUCAACACAGAGAAGCCUCUAUACUCUGAAUCUCUCAUGAAUAAGGCCUUACUCCACUCAUUUUCUUAG